rnacentral:rRNA from 1 species
AAUGAACGUUGGCGGCGUGGAUUAGGCAUGCAAGUCGUGCGAGAAGUCUUUUGCUUGCAUUAGACGGAAAGCGGCGAAAGGGAGAGUAACGCGUGGGUACCUACCUCUAGGUUCGGGAUAGCUGCGGGAAACUGUGGGUAAUACCGAAUAACAUCUCCGGAUCAAAGGUGUGAUUCCGCCUGGAGACGGGCCCGCGUCCUAUUAGCUUGUUGGUGGGGUAAUGGCUUACCAAGGCAAUGAUGGGUAUCGGGCGUGAGAGCGUGACCCGACUCACUGGGACUGAGACACUGCCCAGACACCUCCGGGUGGCUGCAGUCGAGAAUCUUCGGCAAUGGGCGAAAGCCUGACCGAGCGACGCCGCGUGCGGGAUGAAGGCCCUCGGGUUGUAAACCGCUGUCAGUUGGGAGGAAAUCACAUGGGGUUCUCUCCAUGUGUUGACCUAUCUUCAGAGGAAGGACGGGCUAAGUUCGUGCCAGCCGCCGCGGUAACAC